rnacentral:rRNA from 1 species
UCGCCUGUUUUAUCAAAAACAUCUCUUUUUGUUUAUAUAUAAAGUAUGACCUGCCCACUGAUUUAUUUGAAGGGCCGCGGUAACCUGACCGUGCAAAGGUAGCAUAAUCAUUAGUUUCUUAAUUAGAGGCUGGAAUGAAUGGUUGGACGAAAUAUGAGCUAUCUCAUUAUUUUUAUUAGAAUUUAAUUAUUAAGUAAAAAAGCUUAAAUAUUGUUAUGGGACGAGAAGACCCUAUAGAGUUUAAUAUUGUAAUUUUUAGAUUAGUUUUGUUUCGCAAUAUUAAUUAUAAUUUUUUGUUGGGGUGACAGGAAGAUAUAAAUAACUCUUUUUAUUGAUAAAUAUUAAUUUAUAGAAUUUUGAUCCAUUUAUAAUGAUUAUAAGACUAAAUUACCUUAGGGAUACCAGCGUAAA